rnacentral:rRNA from 1 species
AUUGAACGCUGGCGGCAUACUUUACACAUGCAAGUCGAACGGUAACAGGUUAAGCUGACGAGUGGCGAACGGGUGAGUAAUGCAUCGGAACGUGCCCGGUCGUGGGGGAUAACACUUCGAAAGAAGUGCUAAUACCGCAUACGAUCUGAGGAUGAAAGCGGGGGACCGUAAGGCCUCGCGCGAUCGGAGCGGCCGAUGUCAGAUUAGGUAGUUGGUGGGGUAAAGGCCUACCAAGCCGACGAUCUGUAGCUGGUCUGAGAGGACGACCAGCCACACUGGGACUGAGACACGGCCCAGACUCCUACGGGAGGCAGCAGUGGGGAAUUUUGGACAAUGGGCGCAAGCCUGAUCCAGCAAUGCCGCGUGCAGGAAGAAGGCCUUCGGGUUGUAAACUGCUUUUGUACGGAGCGAAAAGGCUCUCUCUAAUACAGGGGGCUGAUGACGGUACCGUAAGAAUAAGCACCGGCUAACUACGUGCCAGCCGCCGCGGUAA